rnacentral:rRNA from 1 species
UACGUAGGGUGCGAGCGUUAAUCGGAAUUACUGGGCGUAAAGCGUGCGCAGGCGGCUUUGUAAGUCAGAUGUGAAAUCCCCGGGCUUAACCUGGGAAUGGCAUUUGGGACUGCAAGGCUGGAGUGUGGCAGAGGAGACUGGAAUUCCUGGUGUAGCAGUGAAAUGCGUAGAUAUCAGGAGGAAUACCGAUGGCGAAGGCAGGUCUCUGGGCUGACACUGACGCUCAUGCACGAAAGCAUGGGGAGCGAACAGG